AUUGAACGCUGGCGGCAUGCCUAGCACAUGCAAGUCGAACGCGAAAGGGGGCAACCCUGAGUAGAGUGGCGGACGGGUGAGGAACGCAUCGGAAUUUACCUCGAGAUGGGGGAUAACCAAGGGAAACUUUGGCUAAUACCGCAUGAUCUCGCGAGAGCAAAGAGGGGGACCGCAAGGCCUCUUGUCUUGAGAUGAGCCGA
rnacentral:rRNA from 1 species